GCUCGGCCCGAUCCUCCCACCCUUUGUGUACCUACCUCUGUUGCUUUGGCGGGCCGCGGUCCUCCGCGGCCGCCCCCCUCCCCGGGGGGGUGGCCAGCGCCCGCCAGAGGACCAUCAAACUCCAGUCAGUAAACGAUGCAGUCUGAAAAACAUUUAAUAAACUAAAACUUUCAACAACGGAUCUCUUGGUUCUGGCAUCGAUGAAGAACGCAGCGAAAUGCGAUAAGUAAUGUGAAUUGCAGAAUUCAGUGAAUCAUCGAAUCUUUGAACGCACAUUGCGCCCUUUGGUAUUCCGAAGGGCAUGCCUGUUCGAGCGUCAUUACAACCCUCAAGCUCUGCUUGGUAUUGGGCACCGUCCUUUGCGGGCGCGCCUCAAAGACCUCGGCGGUGGCGUCUUGCCUCAAGCGUAGUAGAACAUACAUCUCGCUUCGGAGCGCAGGGCGUCGCCCGCCGGACGAACCUUCUGAACUUUUCUCAAGGUUGACCUCGGAUCAGGUAGGGAUACCCGCUGAACUUAAGCAUAUCAAUAAGCGGAGGAA
rnacentral:rRNA from 1 species